rnacentral:rRNA from 1 species
AGUGAACGCUGGCGGUAGGCCUAACACAUGCAAGUCGAACGGCAGCACAGGUGAGCUUGCUCUCUGGGUGGCGAGUGGCGGACGGGUGAGGAAUACAUCGGAAUCUACUCUGUCGUGGGGGAUAACGUAGGGAAACUUACGCUAAUACCGCAUACGACCUACGGGUGAAAGCAGGGGACCUUCGGGCCUUGCGCGAUUGAAUGAGCCGAUGUCGGAUUAGCUAGUUGGCGGGGUAAAGGCCCACCAAGGCGACGAUCCGUAGCUGGUCUGAGAGGAUGAUCAGCCACACUGGAACUGAGACACGGUCCAGACUCCUACAGGAGGCAGCAGUGGGGAAUAUUGGACAAUGGGCGCAAGCCUGAUCCAGCCAUACCGCGUGGGUGAAGAAGGCCUUCGGGUUGUAAAGCCCUUUUGUUGGGAAAGAAAUCCAGCUGGCUAAUACCCGGUUGGGAUGACGGUACCCAAAGAAUAAGCACCGGCUAACUUCGUGCCAGCCGCCGCGGUAA